GGUAACGACACUAGCUUGCUAGUGGUCGACGAGUGGCGGACGGGUGAGUAACGCGUAGGAAUCUACCUAGUAGUGGGGGAUAGCCAAGGGAAACUUUGGGUAAUACCGCAUACGAUCUAAGGAUGAAAGGGGGCCUCUCUUUGAAGCUCUCGCUAUUAGAUGAGCCUGCGUAAGAUUAGCUUGUUGGUGGGGUAAUGGCCCACCAAGGCGACGAUCUUUAGCUGGUCUGAGAGGAUGAUCAGUCACACUGGAACUGAGACACGGUCCAGACUCCUACGGGAGGCAGCAGUCGGGAAUAUUGGACAAUGGGGGAAACCCUGAUCCAGCCAUGCCGCGUGUGUGAAGAAGGCCCUAGGGUUGUAAAGCACUUUUAGUAGUGAGGAAGGCUCAGUAGUUAAUACCUACUGGGAUUGACGUUAGCUACAGAAAAAGCACCGGCUAAUUUCGUGCCAGCAGCCGCGGUAAUACGAAAGGUGCAAGCGUUAAUCGGAAUUACUGGGCGUAAAGCGCGCGUAGGCGGCUUGGUAAGUUGGAUGUGAAAGCCCCGGGCUCAACCUGGGAACUGCAUCCAAAACUGCCUAGCUAGAGUAUGGUAGAGGAUGGC
rnacentral:rRNA from 1 species